rnacentral:lncRNA from 13 species
AUGAACAUGAGGAAAAGGACCAACUCUACUGACCAGAAAUGUUUUGAGUACGGCCCACGCUGCAGGUACAAUUCAUCUCCUAAGGCUCUGGGGUCUUGCACUGACUCAGCAUGUCACCAGGAAGUGGCAAAACGAGACCCCUCUGGCCACUUUGUCUCGCCUGCCUGUUUGUCUAAAGCCCAGGAACAAUAUCACAGGAGCAAGAGGGUUCCUGCACAACAGGGCAUCCGCAGCAGCCUUGCUGCCAUCACCUGGCUUCACCUUCUAGACUCCUUUGAACAUGUGGAAGAUACUGAGGCCCAGAGAAACCUACCAAGAGAUUUUACUGCAAGCUUUCCAACACCUCAGCAGUUACUUCAGUUCAUCCUUCACAUGUCAGCCACUUCUCUUGCUCUGCCUUGGCAGAAUCACCAAAAAGACACAAAACAGGGAGAAGAAUCACGAAAGAGGAAAGAUGCUCAUCACCAGGCAGCAGCCCCAGCAGUGCAACACCCUCAUGUGCACCUCUAGAGGACAGCCAAGAAGCUCAUCUUCACUGACUUCUUGCCAAGGAGCAUUCUACCAGGGCCUGCACUCAAGGAACCAGUGAGGACUCCAGGGUCAGUCCUGCAGGUUAUCCACCAUUCUGGGUUAACUGGUCAUAAAAAAUGUAAAGACGUGGUUGAGACGGCUGCUGUAAGACCAGCUCUAAGAUCCUACCUUCCUGGUAGGUGGCAGAAAUGCUUAAAGGUCCUGAAGGUGAAGACUCCACUUGAAAUCAGUGCCCACCACUCACAACAUCUUGUGUAUAGAAUGGAAACAGACCCUUUAUUGACCAAUAAAGUCAAACAGAGGGCCCCA